CUCAACACCCUUUUUAAUCUUUGAAAGCAAGCAAUUUGAAAUAAUGUCAAAGAUGGUGCGUGGCUAGAAGAGGAUUUGGUCCCAAGUUUUGUAUAGGAUAUUGAAGCAAGAACUUAAAAGCAACUCCUUUAGGUAGUUUGACAUUAAUAAAAGAAUGAAUUUUGUAUUGCAUUGAUGAUGUGUUUUACCAUCUUUUAAAGAUAUUAAUAUCGAAGUGAUUGGCUUAGCAUAGAAUCCUUGUUACUGUCCUAUGAUCUCUUUAACGGUAAAGUGAGUAUCUACCAAAUAUAGGAAAUUCAAAUAAAACUUUUCCUACCAUCUUUAGCCAAAGGCUAAAGAGGUUUUGAUUCUCUUUGGUUGAAAACUUUUUAACAAUUCACAUGCAAAAUUUGCGAUAAAUCACACCAAACUGAGAAUAACCUCUCUGAAUCCCAAAUAAAUAGUUUAAAUUUUCUUUCGAACUUAAAAGAAUGAUAAAAAUGUAAAGUCAAACUUCAGAAACAGAAAUAUAUCAUAACAAUUCAGCCGCCCAAAGGAAUGCUUUUCCUUUCUAGAAUGCGAUGCUGGCACUUUACUCCUUUUGGUAGAAAAAAAAAAUAAAAUAGGCAAAUCAAGCAAUUCACAGGAAAAACAAAACAACAAUAAAAAAACACUAAAGUAUAUACUGGAAGUAAAAUUUUCAAACUUUAAAAAAUCUACGAUGAGUAACAAUAAUAUUCAUAAAAAUAAUAUAAACAAUUUUAACUCAGAAAAAACACUUAUAGAAGUAAAAACCUUUGAAUAUAAACCGAUAAAUUAAAUUUCACUAAAAUCAAAUAUAAAUAUAAGAGUUAAAUAAAAAGCAUGUGUAAUAAAAGAAUUUAAAGAUAUUCUUAAUAUGUAAAAACAUUAUUAUUUUUACAUAUGUAUAAUGAGAAAAAUAUUAUUCUUAACAAUAAAAAUCGUACCGUUUUUAAAAUAAUAAUGUUUUUAAAUUUAAAGAAAAAAAAUAAAGUAAUAUAGCUAGACAAUUUUUUAAUCACAAACUUUCCCAAUUGACGAUUCCAACUAAUGAAGAAUCGUAUAUCAUAUAACUGUUGUCAAAAUUUCAAAUUCAUUCAACAACUAACGCGGAAAAUACAUUUACAAAAAUAUUAAGUAUACCAACACAUUUUUCUUUUUUUUUUUUCAAACUGCAAAAAUAACAUUAUCUCCUGAAAGACCCCUCUUAUUUACGUUAAUUGAAACAAAUUAAACAUAAUUAAAUUAGACUUUUACACAAAUACAAACUUAAUUAAAUUAGACUUUUUAGACCAUCGAGAGUCCAAUUAGAAUUUUCAGAACCCAAAAAUUCUCAUGACAUUCCAACCAAAACUCUUUCAUCAUCAUUUUGCAAUGUAUAACACUUUCUAUUUUCAUCGCUCAUUUUUAUUUAUUUAUUAUUUUUUUAUAUGAUAAGGUUUUCAUAACCUCAUUUAUUAUAUAUUUUUAUUUAAUUUAUUUAGUGAAAUGUUUAUAAUUUUAAUAUCUCAUAAUUAAUGUUAUCCUAUAUAUAACAUUUUGUCAAAAAAAAUAAUAAAUUGUUAUUAUUAUUUUAUUAUUUUACUUAUUGCACCCAUAAUGUUACUAUUUUGAAACCCCCAUCCACCAUCUACCAGUUUUAUAUUUUUAUUACUUCUUCUAAUGGGCUAACUUACCCAUUAUGUUUGGGUGUUAUUCCCUCCACCCCCACGUUUGCUCCCUUCAACUCCCCAACUUUGUAUAUUUUGUUUUAAUUAUAAAAAUAACCUUCUUUUUAUCUUAUAUAAAUAUUUAUUUUUUACUUUUACUUAUUUUAAUUUAAAACCUUAUUCCCUUCUUUAUUGUUGCGGCUUUACUCCCACAUAACCUUUGGGUUCCUCACAUACCAUUCCUCUUUCCAAAUUCCAACAUUCUACUUCUCAUUUUUAUUUAUUCUUCUUUUUCAUACUUCCAUACCAGUGACCUCCAACCUAAUCACUACUUCUUCAUCUCCAACCUCUCUCCAAACCCCUAAUUGAUAACCAUCUCACUAAAACUCUCUUUUUCAUUCAAAUAUAACUCUUGACGCCACUCACUCCUCUUCUUUCUUAAUCAUAUUUCUUCUUCUCUCUCACGAUUUAAUUUCAGCUUUUUUCCUUGUUAUCAAAAUCUCUACUUUGCUACUUUUUCCUUCUCAGCUUCUUCUUCUAUGUUGGGAAUAUGAUUUCGUGAUCCACAACUUUUCUGGGUUCGUGGUUACAGUUUUAUAAUUUUAUGCUUGAAGGGAUGUAAAUGAUAUCCAAUGGAUGUCGAUAUCCGUUCCUGACGUAAUUUAAGAAUAUAACGAAUACUGAAAUCCGUUCCAGUAUAUAAAUUAUAAAGUUAAAAUUUUUAAUCACACAAAAUUAAAUAUUAUAGAAGGAUAAAAAUGGAAUGGGAAGGUGCAGGAAGCACUAUGUAGGGGUGUGGGGAGCAACACCCAUUAUGUUUUUGUGGUCUUUAACUUCUAAAUUUUUUGGAUAAACCCAACAUACUUCAAUCAUAUUAUUGUAUUGUUUUUACCUAAUUACUCCACUCAUUAUUUUUUAUUUUCCUAUCUAAUUAUUUUACUAAUAUUUUCCUAUCUAAAUAUUUUACUAAAUUUUCUACCUAAUUAUCUAAUUUCUCUACCUAUCACUUUAUAAAUAUCUACAUAUUUUCGCUUCAAGACACUACUUCUUUUAUAUCUAAACUCUUCAUUACAAGUUCUAAUUUUUCUUUUCAUAUUUAUCUUUUUCAUCAUUAAUCAAUUAAAAAUUCUAAAGACUAGGAAAGAAAAACAUUUAUCAUUUUAUAUAUUUCAUUUAUCUAUAUUUAGUGAUUUAUUUAUUUUAGUAUCUUAUUUUUAACUUUUAAUUAUUAUUUAUUAUUAUUAUUCUAUUAAUGAGAUAUUUAUAAUCAUAUUUUAACUUAUUUAUUAUUAUUAUUUUAUUAAUGAAGUGUUUGUAAUCUAUUUUUAUUUUUUUAUUGUUUUUUUUAUUUUGAAAGAGAAAUGAAGGUUUUUUUUUGGAAGAGUUUAGUUUAUAAAGAAGGAAGGAGUUUUGUGAAAACAGAAUUUUAAAAUUAUCACAUGAGGGAAGGGACCUAUUUUUACAAUUCCAUCUUAUAUAUGAGAAGUUUUUUUUUUUUUUUUUUUUUUUUUUUUUUUUUUUUUUUAAAUUAGAAAGGAAAUAGCAGAAGCAAUUCCGGUAAAGCAGUUUGAUAUUAAUAAAAAGAAUGUAUUAAUUUAUAUACGUUCACCUUUAUAAUGUCCUAAGUAAAUAUUCUGUAUUAAAAUCCUCAGAACUCUAUCCUUAAAAUACUGGAUAAAUAAAUAAAAAUAAUCUGUUAUUAAUUUACGUACGUUAGAAAAUGUAUUAAAACUUAAUAUAUAUGGCUAAGUAAACUUUUUAAUUAACAGUUUCACUAAAAGUUUUAAUAAUAAUAAAUAUAAUUAAAAUUGAAAGGAUUAUUAUUUCUCUGUUAUGAUGUGAAAUCAAAUAUAUUCAUUCGUAUUUUAAUUAAAUGGACAGGUAAUGUUUUAAAUAAAACUCGGACAAGGAGCGGCUCCUGGCAGGCUUCGAGUGGAAGGGGUGGACGAAUCCAACAUACACCGGAAUGAGAGGGAUCACCAAAAUGCAUUUACUUUUCGGUAACCCUUAAGAACUCCAUGGUUAAGCGUGUUUAGCCUGAAAUAGUUCUGAGAUGGGUGACAUUCCGGGGAGUUUUCCCGGAAAGUGUGCGAGUGAGGACAAAGCACACUGGAAAGUCUCGUGGUGAUUUGUGGGGACAGUCAACAGUCCCUAUAAGUUGCCGGGGCGUUACAGACGAGAUGAGAAAAAAUAUUCAUGAGAAUUUUGGAAAAUUUUCAUUAUAUUAUAUUUUGUUAAAAUAAUUAUUAAAUAUAUAUUAAUGAAAAUGAGACAAAAUUGAAAUUUGAGAUUGACAUUUUAUAAGAGAGCUUAAUGAUUCUUAAAAAUGAAAACGAAGUGUAUCUAUAUUUAAUUAAUCUAAAAACUAAUUUAUUAUAAAAUAAAAUAUUAAGAUUACACACAUAGCCAUCUCUCUUUUCUUAGUCAACAGACAGUGAUGAUGAUUGGACAAGCACUAGCCAUAGUUACUUUAUUGAAGAUAUACAAAACAAAAAAGAAAAGAUGGACACAUGCAAAGGAGACAUGAGCUUAUUUUUUGACUCACAAUAUACUACCCAACUAACAAUGACACUAACAUCUUCCUUUCACCACUCUCAUGCAUCGCUUUACUUUCCGUUACCACCGUAUGAUCCUGACCCAGCACGAGACCCUGCUUCUGACCCAGCUCUGGAGGACCCUGAGCCAGCAUGGGACCCUGCAUAGGAACCAGCUUCGGAACCUGCUCCGGAGCCUGAUCCCGAUGACGAAGAAGAAGAACCAGAACUUGAAUAAGAUGAAGAGCCGGAGCCAGAACCCGAGCCUGCACCUGCACCAGAGCCGCCACCACCAAGGCCAAUUCCAACCCCAGCACCCACCCCGAUUCCCACCCCACCAAGGUCCAACCCCAGGUCCUUUCUUGCCACUCUACUUUCACACACUAUGGCAUUGAUUGCAACAAGCAAAGCUACAAGAGCCAUAACCCUCGCAGUCAUAGCAGACGCCAUUGCCAAGGAUCAAUAUAAAAGUUCACAAGUAAUGAAAAACUAGGGUUGAUGAUGAGUUAGCUAUCUAAGUGGUUGAUAAAUUUUUUGUGAAGAGACGAUGAGAUGCAUGCUAUUUAUAGUUGAGAAUUGAUAGAUUUACCUAGAAAGGUAGGCAAAGCACGUGCAAAAGCAUGAAGCGUGCGUGGUAGGACAUUACGAAGUGGGGUGUGACUUGCAGCCUUUGUCCCAGAGAAUGUUUGCACCAGUUUUUAUUAUAUUUUUGGUACAAGUGGACUUCUAUCCUUCACUUAUUUUUUCAAUUCAAUCAAAUCAUUAUAAAUAUUUUUUUUCUUCUAAAUUCUUUUAAGAUGUUACCUGUAUAAUUUACAAUAAAAAUCCUUGAUAAUGUUACGCCUAUCUAUGAAGUAAUCAUCUUAUAUAUGUAUAAUAAGUCUAAUUGUGGAAGUGGAAAGCCAUAGCAGAAAGACAAAUAUGCAGUUUAAUUGGAGAAUAUUUUUUUAUCAAUGAGGCCAUUAACAGCAGCAAAUCCCACUCACUUAAGCACAAUGUAUGAUUGGCACGGAAUUCAAUUUCUAAAGAUAAAACUGUUAAGGAUAUGUUUUCCUAAUUGCAAAACCACUAAAACAUGUUGGAGAUAUAAAACAUACGAGGAGAACAAUCUAGAAAAGCAACCAAUAACCUUUAUCAUAACUACAUAAAAUUCUGUCCCCGUUCAGAAUCUUUUAUUGAAGCUUUUCGUUUGUCUCAAACCCAUGUCAUUGCUAUAAUGAAUUGAAUUUGUACAUAUAUUUGCAAAUUUUCAAAAAAAAAAAAUUGAAAUAUUUUAUUCAUGAUGGAGAUAAAAGAAAGUAUUUUAAAAGAGAUAAAUAGUAAAAAAUGCUUUCCAAAUCUACUAAUAUGUUUUAUUUUUAAAAAAAUUCAAAGCCUUUUAAAACAUAGAAACAUUUGCUAGGGUUAAGUUUUCACAUAUUUAGAACCCCACUGAAGACAUUUCUUUUAUUGCGUUGCUAAGAACACUUUUGUUUAACUCUACAAAAGGAGAUGCAAACAUCAAUACUAUUUCUUCGUUAAUAUUGCGAAGGUGAAUGUUGUUUCAUUUCUCUGUCACUGUUGCGUUCAUGAGGUGUCAUUUUCGUCACUUGCAUUCUUCCUCGUCUUGCUCCAUUUCUACCGUUGGCUCACUCAUUCAUUCUCUCUUUCCUCGUUUUUUUUUUUUUUGGUUUUAUUAAGACUUGUUUUGUUUUUCCUAACACACAUUUUGUGUUGUUAUUCGUGUUCAGGUUUUGCAUUCAGGUGAUAUUAUCGUAGUACACGUUUCUUUGCUUCCAAAAAAUGUUUUGCAUUGCUGCAAUCUUUUUCUAAUUGUUUUUAGCUUUAGUUGUUAAGACAACAAAAACUUAUUCUAGAAAUAUAAGCUUCUCGGUUAGGAACUAAAGUCAAAAUUCCUUCUUUUUUAUCUUUUUAUGGACAUAUUUCGAUUGGAAAACCGAAUUAUAAUGAUGUCAAAAUAUUUUGCAAUGAAACAUAAUUAAGACUAUUGAAUUGAUAAAUUGUUUACUGUAAUUACAGGUAUAACAUGUGAAAUACACAGUAAGCGUCUUCUCUUUUUUCAGGGUAGAAAGUAGAAAAGAUGGGUGCUCUUUGUAGUCAUACUUAGAAGUCUUUCAUUCCCAUGGCGGAUACAAGGACAAGAGGAAGCAAAGAAGUUGCAGUAGUAUCUUUGUUCAUAUUGACAAAUCAGACUAUAGUGUUAUUUGCUUUUAGGAUAAGAUAACAAUGACUCACUAAUAAGCCUUCCACUAUAUUUUAACGUUGAAAUAAUAAUACAAAUCUAGCUAGUAAUGCUGGUAAAGUAUUUAUCUUGACAAUCUUGUCAUAAUCUACUAAAUUUGAAGAAGCGCGUGAUGAAGUUAUCACAUUAUAUAGUUUUCACUUUGUAUACCAAGUUAGUAAUUUUUUUUAUUAAUUAUUAUAAAUUUUAUUAUCUUUUUAUUUUUUUUAGUCAUGUUUUAUGUAAGUUAUAUUAUUAAGUUUUAUUUUAGUUUAUAAGAGUUUUGUCACAUUAUUUUUAAAAUUUAAAUAUAUUUAUAUAAUUUUUAUUUUGUCACUUUAUAUGUGUGUGACAAAAUGUGAUGUUUUACUCCCAACUAUCCUUCAGCAUUGAAAGAACUAUUUUGUGCUUCUAUGUGGAUAACAAACAACAUAUGACCAAUAACGAAUGAAUCCAAUUUGGACAUUGAUUUGUGCUUCCUCCUCUUGAGUUUAUGGAAAUCCAUAUGCAAACCGGCCAUGAGCUGGCCACAUACAGAAAAAUAUCGUUAAUAUAAAAUGAAAUUCCUUUAAUGGGCAAAACACCGUAGUCAACAACAAAACAGCCUUUCAUCCUCCACUACCAGAGUGGCCAUAAUGGGAAGCUAUUGCAUUGGCACCUGUCCUCAAGCAUGUGAUGAAGCUAUGUCAACCACAAGCUUUUCUCCAUCUUUCCCACUUUCUGGCCUCAAAGAUAAAAUAAUCUAUUCACUUGUUCACACUAUCAUACCCACUCUACAAAGUUCCACCUCUUGCCACUACGCCACUAGUAGUAACUACUCACCAAUUAUAUAUAAAUACUCUACAAUCCUUCAAGGUCUCUUCACCAUGGUGUGGUAGAAUAUAUAUAUAGCAAGAGACAUCACUGCCAUCACCUGCAAAGUUUCUUGCUAUAAUAGUUUCUUCACCUACUUUUCUUCCUUGUUACUUUUGCAAACUACAUUACGCAAAAAUGGCCGUAUCUCGGUCGUGUUGUCUGCUUGCACUGCUACUUUUUGUGUCAGCUAUUGAAUCAGAAAGCAGAGCGGUAAGGAAGGACUUGGGUCUUGACCUUGGUGGGUUGGGGGUUGGACUUGGAGUAGGGUUGGGCCUGGGAAUAGGAGGUGGUAGUGGCUCUGGAGCUGGAGCUGGAGCAGGCUCCGGUUCUGGCUCCGGUUCCAGUUCUAGCUCUGCCUCAAGUUCGGCAUCUUCAUCUUCCAGUUCUGGCUCUGGUGGCUCCGGAGCUGGCUCAGAAGCUGGUUCUUAUGCAGGCUCUCGGGCUGGAUCAGGAUCUGGUGGAAGGGGAGGUGGUGGCGGCGGAGGCGGUGGGGGAGGUGGCGGCGGUGGCGGCGGCUCAGGCUACGGUCAUGGUGAGGGUUAUGGCCAUGGGGAGGGUCACGGGCAAGGAGGUGGUGAUUAAGGAAUUAGUGGUUUACUGAAAUGAAAGAAGAUGGUGCUAAGUGUUUUUAGUUUGUGUAAUAAAUAAGUAGUGUGUGAUCUCUACGUAGUUUGUACCAAUAUGGUAAGCAUGCAUGUAUACCUAAGGUUGUCGACACCAUCCUCCUAUGUGUUUUAAAUAAAAAGUGAAUUAAUUUCAGUUUGAAAUUGUUUUGUUACUCCACCUCUUCUAUUUAUUUCUACUUGUAAUAUUUUACUUCUAAUUAAUUCACUAUAGUAGAAAUGGUUUUUAAUGUCACGUGUAU
rnacentral:lncRNA from 1 species